GCCACUCCUUGUGUUCACAGCGGACCUUGAUUUAAUACCCAAUACAAUUAAGGCACGCGGUGAAUGCCAAGAGAGGGGUCCU
rnacentral:pre_miRNA from 10 species